UCAAAAAAGAAAAGAAAAACAAAGGAGACCAUGGGCAUGGCUUGGGAACAUGCCAGGCGUGACUGAGAGCGAGGAGGUGUUGCUGUGGAGUAGUCACUGCACCUGUUGUUCCUGUCGGCCGGCUGCUGCUCUGUCUGCUGCAUCCUGACUUAACCUUUCUGUAUUUGCAGUGCAACGAGGAGUUAACAAAGGAGAUGGAUGGCCUGAGUCUGGAACUGUGCAGGAACACGUAGGAUGGGGGAUGUAUAAUCAAUGAGGAGCUGCAGAGGAAGAACACCAAGCUGGAAGAACAACUUAGACUCCUACAGUCCGAAAAGUCCAGCAUCCAGUUCAGUGUGCAGGAGCUACAAAGAAAGCUGGCUAGGGCCAAGCUCCUGCUGCCACAGCAGCAGCUACAGGAGGAGGCCGUCCACCUGAGACAGGAGGUUGAGAGAGUGGCAGGAGAACUCCAAACCCAGCUGGAUAAAAAUAAAUGCUGGAGGCGCUUGUACAAGGAGCAGGAGCACAAGAUGCU